AAACUAAGGGACAAAGGGAGGGGGGGGAUGACCUCUCUGAUCCCUACAGCCUCCAAUUCUGUGACGCAACUUCCAUCACUGCAGGGAGUGGGGUUCUGCCAACAUACCUCCAUCUUGAUCCCUCAGAAAAAAAACUGCCACAAGGAGACAUUUAUUUGCAAGAGAUUCCUCUUUCCUUCCCCUGUCUGCUACUCAUGGAUGAUGGACUGCAGGCCACUUCCCACAUUGAGUGGUUAG
rnacentral:lncRNA from 1 species